UCUUAUGCUUUCGCUCUGCGCUGUCUGUCAAAGAAUGAGAAAAAAAAACAAAAAAAUCUGUUUUUGCAAAAUAAAUUGUGCUGCUUCCGUUCCGAUUUGCCUGCCGUUUGAUCAGUUGAAUGAUUCGAGCUCUUAAAAAUAUGAUCCAAAGUGGACGGAAAUCGACGCAAGCAACCGGGGAGAAUGCAGUUAAUAUCCCGCUGUGACUGGCUGCCUCUACCAAAAACAAAUAAUACUUUUCAUGGUGUUCGAUACUUUCCAAUGGCCCAUCCGAAUAACUCGAAGUUGCAGUCAAUUUGGUGGAACCGAACUGGAACUAUGGUCUCGGAGCUGCCGGCUUG